UCGAGAAUUUUUCACAAUGGGCGCAAGCCUGAUGGAGCGACGCCGCGUGGGGGAUGAAUGGCUUCGGCCCGUAAACCCCUGUCAUUUGCGAUCAAACCUCACGACCUAAUACGUCGUGAGUUGAUAGUAGCGAAAGAGGAAGGGACGGCUAACUCUGUGCCAGCAGCCGCGGUAAUACAGAGGUCCCAAGCGUUGUUCGGAUUCACUGGGCGUAAAGGGUGCGUAGGCGGUCGGGUAAGUCUGACGUGAAAUCCUGGAGCUUAACUCCGGAACGGCGUCGGAGACUAUUCGGCUAGAGGAUGGGAGGGGGGACUGGAAUUCUCGGUGUAGCAGUGAAAUGCGUAGAUAUCGAGAGGAACACCCGUGGCGAAGGCGAGUCCCUGGACAAUUCCUGACGCUGAGGCGCGAAAGCUAGGGGAGCAAACA
rnacentral:rRNA from 1 species